rnacentral:lncRNA from 1 species
CUUUCAGUCCUGCCGUCAUCACUGACAAAGUAAUCCCAGCUUGUCUGCCAUCCCCAAAUUAUGUGGUCGCCGACCAGACUGAAUGUUACAUCACUGACUGGGGAGAAACCCAAGGUACCUUUGGGGCUGGCUUUCUCAAGGAAGCCCAGCUCCCUGUGAUUGAGAAUGAAGUGUGCAAUCGCUAUGAGUUUCUGAAUGGAAGAGUCAAAUCCACUGAGCUCUGUGCUGGGCAUUUGGCUGGAGGCAUUGACAGUUGCAAG